rnacentral:rRNA from 1 species
GUGGGGAAUAUUGGACAAUGGGCGAAAGCCUGAUCCAACCAUGCCGCGUGUGUGAAGAAGGUCUUCGGAUUGUAAAGCACUUUAAGUUGGGAGGAAGGGCAGUAAGUUAAUACCUUGCUGUUUUGACGUUACCAACAGAAUAAGCACCGGCUAACUUCGUGCCAGCAGCCGCGGUAAUACGAAGGGUGCAAGCGUUAAUCGGAAUUACUGGGCGUAAAGUGCGCGUAGGUGGUUUUGUAAGUUGGAGGUGAAAUCCCCGGGCUCAACCUGGGAACUGACACCAAAACUGCAUGACUAGAGUACGGUAGAGGGUAGUGGAAUUUCCUGUGUAGAGGUGAAAGGCGUAGAUAUAGGAAGGAACACCAGUGGCGAAGGCGACUACCUGGACUGAUACUGACACUGAGGUGCGAAAGCGUGGGGAGCAAACAGGAUUAGAAACCCCAGUAGUCC